rnacentral:rRNA from 1 species
CCUACGGGAGGCAGCAGUGGGGAAUAUUGCGCAAUGGGGGAAACCCUGACGCAGCAACGCCGCGUGAGUGAGGAAGGACUUCGGUCUGUAAAGCUCUGUUAAUGUGGAAAAAUGGUAGUUGGUCUAAUAGGCCGAUUAUUUGAUGGUACACAUAGAGGAAGCACCGGCUAACUUCGUGCCAGCAGCCGCGGUAAUACGAAGGGUGCAAGCGUUGUUCGGAUUUAUUGGGCGUAAAGCGCGCGUAGGCGGACCUGUAAGUCAGAUGUGAAAUCUCGGGGCUCAACCUCGAAACUGCGUCUGAAACUGCAGGUCUAGAAUCUCGGAGGGGGAAGGGGAAUUUCGCAUGUAGGGGUAAAAUCCGUAGAUAUGCGAAGGAACACCAGAGGCGAAGGCGCCUUCCUGGACGAGUAUUGACGCUGAGGCGCGAAAGCGUGGGGAUCAAACAGGAUUAGAUACCCUGGUAGUCCACGCUGUAAACUAUGAACACUAGGUAUUGGAGGAUUUGACCCCUUCAGUGCCGUAGCUAACGCGUUAAGUGUUCCGCCUGGGAAAGUACGGUCGCAAGACUAAAACUUCAAAUAGAGUUAGUAGCGNGAGAGACGACGACGACGACGACGGAGGAGGAG